UACGUAGGGGGUAAGCGUUGUCCGGAUUUACUGGGUGUAAAGGGCGCGUAGGCGGAUCUGUAAGUCAGUGGUGAAAUCCUACAGCUUAACUGUAGAACUGCCUUUGAUACUGCAGAUCUUGAGUUCGGAAGAGAGAGAUGGAAUUCCAGGUGUAGUGGUGAAAUACGUAGAUAUCUGGAAGAACACCAGUGGCGAAGGCGGUCUCUUGGUCCGUAACUGACGCUGAGGCGCGAAAGCGUGGGUAGCAAACAGG
rnacentral:rRNA from 1 species